rnacentral:snRNA from 1 species
GUGCUCACUUUGGCAGCACAUAUACUAAGAUUGGAACAAUACAGAAAAGAUUAGCAUGGCCCCUGUGCAAGGGUGACACACAAAUAUGUGAAGUAUUCCAUAUUUAA